rnacentral:siRNA from 1 species
GAAAACUAAGCCGAAGGAUGACA